AGGCUAAAUAYUCCUGACCGACCGAUUAGUGAACCAGUACCGUGGAGGGAAAGGCGAAAAGAACCCCGGCGAGGGGAGUGAAAUAGAUCCUGAAACCGUGUGCGUACAAGCAGUCGGAGCCCGCAAGGGUGACGGCGUACCUUUUGUAUAAUGGGUCAGCGACUUACUGUUCGUGGCGAGCUUAACCGUAUAGGGGAGGCGAAGGGAAACCGAGUCUGAUAAGGGCGCAUAGUCGCGGGCAGUAGACCCGAAACCGGGUGAUCUAGUCAUGCCCAGGGUGAAGGUACCGUAACAGGUACUGGAGGCCCGAACCCACGCCCGUUGCAAAGGUCGGGGAUGAGGUGUGAUUAGGAGUGAAAAGCUAAUCGAACCCGGAGAUAGCUGGUUCUCCUCGAAAGCUAUUUAGGUAGCGCCUCGUAUGUAUCCUCUCGGGGGUAGAGCACUGUUAUGGCUAGGGGGUCAUCGCGACUUACCAAACCAUUGCAAACUCCGAAUACCGAGACGGACUGUACGGGAGACACACGGCGGGUGCUAACGUUCGUCGUGAAAAGGGAAACAACCCAGACCCACAGCUAAGGUCCCAAAUUACCGCUGAGUGGAAAACGAUGUGGAAAGGCACAGACAGCCAGGAGGUUGGCUUAGAAGCAGCCACCCUUUAAAGAAAGCGUAAUAGCUCACUGGUCGAGUCGGUCUGCGCSGAAGAUUUAACGGGGCUAAGCGGUAAACCGAAGCUUGGGGUGCAUAACUUUGUUAUGCGCSGUAG
rnacentral:rRNA from 1 species